UCUAGUCAGUAGAAUUCAUGGAUUUAAUGGCCGUAUGCUCAACGAAAGCGAAUACUUAAAAUGUGCAAUCGUGAACGAUCGUGUUUUAACGGACAUGACAAAGGUUGGAGUAGAUGUCCGCAGAACAUUGUGUGAUAACAAGACUGACGGUGGAGGUUGGAUUAUUAUUCAGAGACGUAUCAAAGGUGAUGUGAACUUUACAAGAACUUGGAACGAUUAUAAAAACGGAUUUGGCUCAAAUUCUGGAGACUUUUGGAUCGGAAAUGACGUCAUUUUUCGC